rnacentral:rRNA from 1 species
GACGUAGGGUGCGAGCGUUGUCCGGAUUUAUUGGGCGUAAAGAGCUCGUAGGCGGCUCGUCGCGUCGACCGUGAAAACCCGCGGCUUAACUGCGGGCUUGCGGUUGAUACGGGCGGGCUAGAGUUCGGUAGGGGAGACUGGAAUUCCUGGUGUAGCAGUGAAAUGCGCAGAUAUCAGGAGGAACACCGGUGGCGAAGGCGGUUCUCUGGGCAUUACCUGACGCUGAGGAGCGAAAGUGUGGGGAGCGAACAGG